rnacentral:rRNA from 1 species
UACGUAGGGUGCGAGCGUUAAUCGGAAUUACUGGGCGUAAAGCGUGCGCAGGCGGUUAUGUAAGACAGAGGUGAAAUCCCCGGGCUCAACCUGGGAACUGCCUUUGUGACUGCAUGACUAGAGUACGGCAGAGGGGGAUGGAAUUCCGCGUGUAGCAGUGAAAUGCGUAGAUAUGCGGAGGAACACCGAUGGCGAAGGCAAUCCCCUGGGCCUGUACUGACGAUCAUGCACGAAAGCGUGGGGAGCAAACAGG